UACAGAGGUCUCAAGCGUUGUUCGGACUCAUUGGGCGUAAAGGGUGCGUAGGUGGCGCCGUAAGUCAGGUGUGAAAUUUCGGAGCUUAACUCCGAAACUGCAUUUGAUACUGCGGUGCUUGAGGACUGGAGAGGGUAACGGAAUUCACGGUGUAGCAGUGAAAUGCGUAGAUAUCGUGAGGAACACCAGAGGCGAAGGCGGUUACCUGGACAGUUACUGACGCUCAGGCACGAAAGCAUGGGGAGCAAAAGGG
rnacentral:rRNA from 1 species